rnacentral:tRNA from 1 species
GGCUCGGCGGUGACCGAGGCGGCGUGGGCGGCCGGCUACGACUCGGCCGAGGGUUUCUCCCGGGCCUACGCGCGGGCGUUCGGCCACCCGCCGAGCCG